GUGGGGAAUAUUGGACAAUGGGCGAAAGCCUGAUCCAGCCAUGCCGCGUGUGUGAAGAAGGUCUUCGGAUUGUAAAGCACUUUAAGUUGGGAGGAAGGGCAGUAAGUUAAUACCUUGCUGUUUUGACGUUACCGACAGAAUAAGCACCGGCUAACUUCGUGCCAGCAGCCGCGGUAAUACGAAGGGGGCUAGCGUUGCUCGGAAUUACUGGGCGUAAAGCGCGCGUAGGUGGUUUUGUAAGUUGGAGGUGAAAUCCCCGGGCUCAACCUGGGAACUGCCUCCAAAACUGCAUGACUAGAGUACGGUAGAGGGUAGUGGAAUUUCCUGUGUAGCGGUGAAAUGCGUAGAUAUAGGAAGGAACACCAGUGGCGAAGGCGACUACCUGGACUGAUACUGACACUGAGGUGCGAAAGCGUGGGGAGCAAACAGGAUUAGAUACCCUUGUAGUCC
rnacentral:rRNA from 1 species